ACUUGUCAUCCUUUUUCCAGAUUCCGCACUCGCCCCUUGCCUUGGGGAUCUCGUGCUUUUCUUCUAUUGCUACUCUCUAGUCUCUACUACUAUCACUACCAGCAUUGUUAAUUAAAAUAAAUGUAAAUGUUGGAAUUCUGCUGCGAUUACCUCGCUUCUACAGUACUAUUAUGUUCACUGCAAUUUUAUUUUUCGUCAAUCCGUAUCACAUUCAUUAUUGAUUGAUCCUGACACGCGCAUUGUUACUAGCACAUUAUUCUAGCACCGAGCAGUCCAGCACAUGUAGCUCGGCUCGACAAGUUCCCAAUUUAUGUCAGAUUUUGAUAGCUCUGUCUUGGGCUUUUGUCGCUAUAUAAGCUUGUGAUUGCACUGCCAUGGACCGGAAAACAUCUUUUACUCCAUCUAAAUAUUGUCCCAACGAAAUCUUCAGUUUUUGUAACAUGCAUACAACCAUGUCAGCCAUUUCUUUUAUCUCUUUCAACUCUAUGACUUAUCUCUGAAUUCCUUGAAAUAACCAAUCCAAUUGUCUUGUGCUCUGCAGGUUAUUCAUGGUCCGCUGGAGCAAUGUCAUUGAUGUUAUCUAUGCUGAUAAUUUAAGGCUGACCAGAAGUAGAUAAAACUGUGUAAGCUAGUCUAAGGAUUAUUCUUGACGGUCAGCAGUGCCCUUAUGGCCCCCUCAGGAGCAUAUUUCUGUGUUAUUUCGGCACUGUUUGGCUUCUAACUGGCCAAGCAACGGCUGCUCUAAUUGGAAGAAUUGGUUGGAGAAACCAGCCUGAAAUAUAUGAGGCACACAAGUUCCGGUGACUUGUUCAGAUGGAGUGAUGAACUUAUCCUGCAGAGCUUUGUUGAAGCCUGGCUUGACUUAUCGGCGCCAUGAUCAUACGCUGCUACUGCUCCAUACUGAGGGAGUACUGGAGAGGAGGGAAGGGAGGGUCCACAUGGGCAUCAGUCACCAACGGAUGUCAACAGAGACCGACGGUGUCACGGGCAUAGUCACCAAUGGUUACUCCUAGAGAGAAAGAGAGAGAUCGCAGAUAACGGCAUGCAGUUGCUUUGGCUUGCUUGGAGCCCUGCAUCUGCCUUGCUGGCUUGCUGCCACUUUGCACUGCAAGGGACCCCAUCCCAUCGUACGGGCUGGAUGGCGAUGCCUCACCCACCUUCGCAUCUCAUCUUCUUCUUGGCUAGUUGAGUUGGGUCCAGCUAGCUAUCCAUCUACUCCAGGAGAGGGAGGGAGGAUCGAUGGGAUCUUAAAAACCGUCCUCAAUCUCCUGUAAUCCACUUAGAGAAGGAAAACGUACCAACAGUAGCUGGUCCUGCAUCCAAUCAGCGCUCUCCGCGUGUCCCACCCGCUCCUCACUGCAGCAGGCCGACGUGGCAACCCGAGCCAUCUAAAACGUCGCCUCCCAACAAUAUCCACAUCCUGUGGCUGCUGAGGAAUGAGAGGCUGCUAUUCAUGUUCUAGGAAGUACUACGAAGGCAGUCGUUGAUUAGUACUCCCACUGCAAGAGAACAAAAGGGUCCUGAUUCGGUGAAGAUAGAUUGUGCUUGUGCUGCUGCCGUAAUGACCUCAUACAAAGCUGAUAAUACUUUGCAAUUAUUUAUUUUUAGAAAAAGAUGAACUGACCCUUGGAUUUUCCCUC